CUGACGUUGUUUGGUUAAAUGUACUAAAAUUGGAAUGAUAGAGAUCAGUAGUAUGGUCCCUAUACAAGAUGGCAUAUAAAUAGGUGAAGUGCUCCAUAUUUUU